rnacentral:misc_RNA from 1 species
GGAAAUAAAAGUCGUAACAAGGUUUCCGUAGGUGAGCCUGCGGAAGGAUCAUUAUUGUAUAACCGAGGUGCGAGGGCUGUCGCUGACCCGAAAGGUCGUGCACGCCCGAGUGCCCUCACACACAUCCAUCUCACCCCUAUGUGCACCACCGCGUGGGUCCCCCUUUGGCUUGUUCGGAGGGGGGCUUACGUUUUCACACAAACUUUGUAUGCAGUGUAGAAUGUAUUUUUUGUUUUUGCGAUCACGCAAUCAAUACAACUUUCAACAACGGAUCUCUUGGCUCUC